UACCUAGGAGACAGAGAGGCGCGGUCUCUCCCGGGUAUGGCUGUGCUUUCUCUUUGCUCGAGGCCGUGGCGGCUGAGGCAGCCUGGAGGUGUAGCAGCCAGUGUUUGAGCAUAAGCAUGAAAAUUUCAUUCCCUGAUGGCAGAGCAGAAAGCUAGAUGGUCUUUGAGCCUCAGAUGGCCUCGUGGAACUGUCAUACAACCAAGGACUUCCCACCUCCCAGGGACUGCUGACCUCCAGCUCCUGGCUACCUGAUGAAGUCACUGCAGUUGGUUUUCUGUUAGAUGCAAUAUUGACUGUUUCAUCGAAGAUAGCUGAAUUCACACAUCUUCUGCAAUCUGUUGUGAUGUCACAUAUCAUAUGGUCUCUGGAAAACACUGGAAGGCAAUAAAGUGGUGAUUAUAGAGGCCAUGGCUUGAAAUGAAGGAGCCACUAGGAAGAAGCUAGCCUGGAUCAGUGGUCAUCGUACAAAGGACAGUUGACCUGGAGAGAUGUCCCACCUGCUGCAGCUUUGUCUAAACAAGAAAUAUGCCUCUGUUGUGUUAAACCACAGAAAUUUGAAGAUUAAUUUGUUACCGUAGCAUACCAUAGCCUCUCCUGACUAAGACACCAGACAGGAUAUUAAAUAUAUCACUAUUUCAAUAUUGGCUAUUGACCACAUAGUAUCCCUCAGAUACUUUGUUUUGUGAACUGUAUUGUGCCCAAAGUAAGAAUGACCGCCCAAAGACAAGCUCCCAGAAGCAGGUAGGAGAAUACCAAGGUCUUCCUGAGCCCCCUGAGCUCCAGCGGCCCCCAGGCCUGGCCUCUUGCUUCAGUUCCUCCUCUGCCCACGUCAGCCAUCUCCCUGUUGCUGGUUUCCAAAGCUGCUUGCCUUCCCCUCUGUCUCCACCCCCAGCAGAUAGCUUCCAGAGGCUAGGGCCCAGACAACACUGGCUGUUCUCCAGAUGCUGGCCAAAGUGCUUGGAAGUUUCUCUGAGCAUCCCAUUUUCUUUCAGAUGUAUCCCUGGGGAUGCAGAGCUCUCGCAAUCAGGGCAAUCACCGCUUUCUGGCCCCUGCUGACCUGGAGCCACUGGCUGUGUGUCAGGCAGGAAGCUCAGGGCAGUGUUGCCCACUUUUAGUUCAGGCCUGGAGAGAAAGUGAGGGUUUCAAGGCAUUGGGCUGGCUCCUGGCUGGGAUGGGGACAGCCCAGGCAGUGGGAAUGUUCACUUCUCAUCUGGAGAGUUCUCAAACACGCAUCUCUGAGCAUCUCUGUGGACCUGGCCCUGUGCUUGGUGCUAUGGGAGCACAAAGGCAAGGGGUCCUGGCCCCUGGCUUCCAGGAGCUUCCAUCCUGUAGGCUCAAGUAGGACAUUAGCUACAGAAAACCAGAGCACAAGGGAGUAAAUCAGGCGGGGAUUUUUCAGUUGC